GUGAUUAGAUCGAGCGUGUCUUCAGUUGACCGCUCACCCUUCUCACCAUCCACAUACACCUGUGCACUGUUUAGCCUGAGCCGGUUUUCCGGUCCAGGUUAUCAUUUCAUACAAACUCUAGUCUUAUGAAUGUAAACGUUUUAAUAACAUAAUA
rnacentral:misc_RNA from 1 species